GGAUCCAGACUUUGAUUCUGGCUCAGGACGAACGCUGGCGGCGCGCCUAACACAUGCAAGUCGAACGAGAGAGAGGGAGCUUGCUUCCUCGAUCGAGUGGCGAACGGGUGAGUAACGCGUGAGGAACCUGCCUCAAAGAGGGGGACAACAGUUGGAAACGACUGCUAAUACCGCAUAAGCCCACGGCUCGGCAUCGAGCAGAGGGAAAAGGAGCAAUCCGCUUUGAGAUGGCCUCGCGUCCGAUUAGCUAGUUGGUGAGGUAACGGCCCACCAAGGCGACGAUCGGUAGCCGGACUGAGAGGUUGAACGGCCACAUUGGGACUGAGACACGGCCCAGACUCCUACGGGAGGCAGCAGUGGGGAAUAUUGCACAAUGGGGGAAACCCUGAUGCAGCGACGCCGCGUGGAGGAAGAAGGUCUUCGGAUUGUAAACUCCUGUUGUUGAGGAAGACAAUGACGGUACUCAACAAGGAAGUGACGGCUAACUACGUGCCAGCAGCCGCGGUAAAACGUAGGUCACAAGCGUUGUCCGGAAUUACCGGGUGUAAAGGGAGCGCAGGCGGGCGAUCAAGUUGGAAGUGAAAUCCACGGGCUCAACCCAUGAACUGCUUUCAAAACUGAUUGUCUUGAGUAGUGCAGAGGUAGGCGGAAUUCCCGGUGUAGCGGUGGAAUGCGUAGAUAUCGGGAGGAACACCAGUGGCGAAGGCGGCCUACUGGGCACCAACUGACGCUGAGGCUCGAAAGUGUGGGUAGCAAACAGGAUUAGAUACCCUGGUAGUCCACACCGUAAACGAUGAUUACUAGGUGUUGGAGGAUUGACCCCUUCAGUGCAGCAGUUAACACAAUAAGUAAUCCACCUGGGGAGU
rnacentral:rRNA from 1 species